rnacentral:misc_RNA from 1 species
AUUAAUGAAAAGUUCUUUUUGAACCAAUCAUAACACCCCAUUGUUUUAAUCCACCCUCUUAUGCUUCCACUGGCCAGUGUUGAGUCCUUCGUUUGGCGUUGGACAAGACCCUUCAUUGCCCUUCAUAUUCUUGGAGUGGCUGGAGCGUGCCGGUGAGUGUCUACCAAAAAAAUACUUGAAUAUGAGAAAUACUGUCUGAAUCAAAUUUUUUAUAAAUCAUUAUAAAACUUUCAACAACGGAUCUCUAGGCUCUUGCAUCGAUGAAGAACGCAGUGAAAUGCGAUACGUAAUGUGAAUUGCAGAAUCUCGUGAAUCAUUGAAUCUUUGAACGCACAUUGCGCCCUAUGGUAUUCCAUAGGGCAUGCCUGUCUGAGCGUCAGCUCCCCCCCACUCAAGCUCUUUUGCUUGGAUUAUUUCGGAUGAGCAGUCUAUUAUUGAUUGCUGCCCGUAAAUUCAUAGGCAGUAUGGUCCCCUCAUUCCAAGCUGAGCGUAAUAAUUAAAACAAUCACGCCCAUACAUUGAAGUUGAGAAUAUCGUACUCGCCCUUAACCCACAAUAUUUUUUUUAUUUGGGUGACCUCAGAUCAGGUAGGGAUACCCGCUGAACUUAAGCAUAUCAAUAAGCGGAGGAAAAGAAACCAACAGGGAUUGCCUCAGUAACGGCGAGUGAAGCGGCAAAAGCUCAGAUUUGAAAUCUGGCGUCAUAUUGGCGUCCGAGUUGUAAUCUGUAGAGGAGUAUUCGAGUGUGGCGUUGGCUUAAGUUCCUUGGAACAGGACGUCAUAGAGGGUGAGAACCCCGUUAACGGCCUUUGUCUUAUGCUCAUGUGAAUCUCCUUCAACGAGUCGAGUUGUUUGGGAAUGCAGCUCUAAAUGGGUGGUAAAUUCCAUCUAAAGCUAAAUACUGGCAAGAGACCGAUAGCGCACAAGUAGAGUGAUCGAAAGAUGAAAAGAACUCUGAACAGAGAGUUAAAUAGUACGUGAAAUUGUUGAAAGGGAAGCACUUGCUACCAGACACGCCUGUAGUUGAUCAGCCUUCAUUCUUGAUGGUGCACUCGGCAACAUGGUGGGUCAGCAUCAGUUGUGGCGGUGGGAUAAAGACCGGGGGAAUGUGGCUUCUC